GAAGUGGCAAAGUUUCCACCUCAUUAUUUAUUAUCAUCAAGAACGCAAAAUCAUCGUCAGCUACCCAUCGCAAGCCUCCUCGAUUCGUCUCGGCGACGGCGAGGCAGUAGCACACAGCACGCAUCCUGCCAAAGCUGUGUGCGACCCGUACACGCACGGCCGACGGGAGCGUCUCCGCCUCCGGUCAGCCCGGCCCGGCCCGGUCCGGGCCCGGCUUAGGCCACCUGUACGGCUCUACCCCUGCAUCCUCCGUUGGUCUCAACAACGCACGCACCCCUCUCACACCGUCGUCCUCGCCAGCGCCUCCAUUCUCCCACUCCUUCCAUUCCACCCAGCCACGCUCGCCGCCUCGUAGGAGCUCACGGCUCGCAGCCGCCUCGUCGUCCUCCUGCUCUUCGCCGGAGGAGUGUGGGCUGGCGAGGCGUGGCGUGCAGUGGAGAUCCAUCCCAGCCGUGAGAUUGGCCUCUCUUCUUGCUUUCUGAGUCAGGAUCUUCGGCGCCCAUGUGCAUCCUCUUCUAUUAGCUUGAAAAAGUAUAUCUGUGAAUACUAAGACACAAGUUGUCCUUUGAUUUUGGUCUGGCUAAAGCCAAUUUUAUAUCCACCAACUUUCAUGAUGAAUUAUCUUGAAAUCAAGAACGGAGAAGAAUAUCUGAUGGAUCCUAUUCAAAUCAAGGAUAACGAAGGGAAUCCUGAAGAGAUGCUUGUUGACCAGCCGCAUUUUCUAGAACCCAUAUGUCCAGAGGAAGUCAAUGAAGAUACACGAGUAUACCCUCGUGUGGGGGAUGAGUACCAGGUGGAAGUUCCAAAUCUAACAACAGAAGAGGAACGCAUGAAAUUAAGGUCUUUGCCAGUUGAUGGUAGCAGAAUGUUCGGUUUUGAGUAUCCUGUAGUGGUUGGAUUAACUAUUCCAGUCACAUGGACCCCAAAUACAAGCACUCAUGUUAAAGGAGAGUGGAGGGAAUUUUCAGGACACACUUCGUGUGCUUCAGAAGAUGAUCAUAACAGCCACAUCAGUGCAAUUAUCCCAAGAAGUUUACCUCAACAAAGCAUUUAUCCAGAUUGUCUGCGCUGUAAGGUUGAAUAUGAUGAUCAUGGUGAGAAAUUCCCAAAAUCUACUGGGCAAGAUAUGUACUGCUUGCCGAAAAGCGAAGUUUUAAGCUGUUCUUGUGUAAAGAGGGAGGUGACGAAAUUUAUAAAGAGCAAGACAAUGGGAGAAGUUCUAUCCUACUACUAUGGAGAUUUUUUUAAGUCUGAUGCAUAUAAACGAUGGUCUGCAUGUAGAAAAGUAAGAAGCAGGAGAUGUAUACUUGGGUUGCGUAUAUUUUCUGGUUCCAGGCAGCAGGAACUGUUGUCACGUUUGCUUGCUGGCGUAGCAAGGGAGGUUCAAGAUCCUUUGCUCGAGGUCUUCAAGACAUUCAAUGAGGGGAUAUCUGACUUUGAGCAGUUUAUUUUAUGCUUAAAGUCCACAGUUGGUGCACAGGUUCUUGUAGAAGCAGUUGGAAUUGGCAAGGGAAAGUAUGACUUGACUGGAUUUGCAUUAGAUCCUAGUAGAAACCAUGCUAUUUCGGGCCGUGCAGAAAUACCUAUUGGCAAGGCUUGCUCAUCGCUUUCGUCUGGAGAUAUCAUAAAGUAUUUGACUGGUGAUUUCAGACUAAGCAAGGCAAAAUCUAAUGAUCUAUUUUGGGAAGCUGUCUGGCCUCGCUUACUUGCGAGAGGGUGGCACUCCGAGCAGCCGAAAGAUUCCUCACUAGUCGGUAAGCAGGCCUUAGUCUUCCUCAUUCCAGGUGUAAAGAAAUUUUCCAGAAAGAAACUCGUCAAAGGAAAUCAUUACUUUGAUUCUGUCAGCGAUGUCUUGAGAAAAGUUGCGUCUGAACCGAGGCUGCUUGAUUUUGGAGUUGAAGGUGAUAAUAAUGGAGGUGAGGUUAAGAUUGCAAUUGGAUGGAUCAAUGAUGUUGAACCUGACAAAAGCACACUUGCUGACAAGAAACCUGCUUCCUAUAUCCGGCCCAGUGAACCAGGGUGUUCCCCCGAGCUUAUGAAAUUUACUGUGGUGGACACUAGUUUUGGUCAAGGGGAAGAACCAUGUAAGGUAAGGUCACUAAGAAAUCUACCUACAGAUGCUGGUCAUGGCUACAGUUCUUCACCACAUUCUGGCGAUUCUGUCAGCGUGAACUCAGAAGAACAUUCAGAUUCAGAAGACAGUUCUGAACCUUAUGAAGAUCUGGAUACCAAUCAGAGGGAAACUGAUGCAAGCUGUGUUGACGAGGAGAGAAAAAACAAUCCCCCAACUGGUGAUAAGAUGGCUGCUGAUGUACUUCAUAAGAUUUCUUCCUUUCCAGGCAGGGUCAAUGGUCACGUUUCAGUUGAUCAAUGUGUUGGCACAAAGAAUAAUGUCUGCUCUUCGGCUGGAACAGUUCUUCCUGUUGGUAAUCAGAGGAUACAUGCUACUAAUUCUUCAACUGAAAUUAAUUUUCAGUUUGAUCCAAGAGUAAAUCCUGAACCUCAAGUUUUCUUAGCACCUAUGCCAAAGAGAAGAAGGUUAGUUUCUUUCAAGAAUGAAAGAACUGGUCGCAAAGGAACUGCUGUCAGUAAAAGGCAUUACGGGAAGCAAGCUGACACCCCACUGCAACCUGUGCCUAAAGCAAAUGAAGCAAGUGCAGGGGCCAACCCUUUUGUAUGGAGCACAAUUUCAAGCUCAUCAACCAACAUAACCUUUGGCACUAAUAGCAAUCACACAUAUUGCGGACAGCUUCACAAUGUGCCCCCUAAUGUUGAAGUGGUUUACAAGGAAAAAGCUCAACGUAAGCAUGUUAUUGAUCUGAAUAUCCCUCAAAUGCCUUCUGAUUAUGAGUCGACUACAAGUUAUAUCCAACCUCCAACUGACAAUAAUGCAGUAAUCAUGGACAUACCUAUGCAUCCCUCAGAAACCAAGGAGGCGGAUGACUGCCUUCCAGAUAUCAAUACCUCUAGUAAUGCAAUCUUAAGCGAGCAGCUUUCUUUCAACUCGAGGAGGCAGAGUACCAGAAGCCGCCCACCAACAUCCCGAGCUCUGGAAGCUCUUGCAUGUGGCUUUAUGGGGAAGCAGAAAGGUGGGGAGGGAAAUUUCCCAUCUUCUAGCAGGAGCAGCAGACCUGUCCGACGACCACGAAGAUCAACUGAUGUUACAGUUCCAUUUCCUUCUGAUGGCGUCGGGAGUGGUUCUCAUUUUAGUGACCAAGCCAUCGCUGUCAAUGAAUGGCGCAUGAGUAAUAAUCAGUUUCAAAUACUUCACAGCGCCCCCUCAAAUAACUCCAGUGAAAAAGGGACUCUUGAAUUGUUUGGGGCAGACAACUCUACUGAUAAAGGAACUCGUGAAAUUGUCUGGCAUUCUGUAGAUGGCAUGAAAACGAGUAAGGAGUUACAUGCGCAGCAAUUUCAUUGAAUUGUUCAACCUUCACAGAAUGAAUUUGUUGCUGGUUAAGAGAAUUCCAUGAUCUUGUGGUAGAAAGCAAAACAUCACAGAUGCCAAUCUGUCAAAUUUCUGUUUUGGGUUAGGAGACGAAUCGAGGAAGCUUAUACAGAUAAUUGUGAAUUUCAGCUGUAGUUCGGUGCUUUUCCGGAUGUUUGGGCUUGAUUCUUGUCAAAAACAUAUGAGCCUGAACUAACAUGUGAUGGAUGUUUGCCGUCAUUCCUUUUGACACCAGAAAUGAAGGGAAAAAAGAUGAAAAUGGCGAGUGCAAGAAUCGUGCCCUCGUUGUUAGGAUGCCAUCUCAUGAAGCUUUUACUUCAUUUUAUUUAUGUGGAGAUUUUUCUGAUGAGUUAUACCCGUACUCUUUACCUUUUUUGCCUGUACUAUGUGGAGUUUCUAGAAAACUGCGUAAUCGUGUGCCCAUAUAAGAACCAUAGCUUAGCUGAACUUUGAAGUCUUGCCUUGUCCCGUAAUUCAAAAGGAGAACGCAAAACAGAUAUGUUCAUUGCAUAUUUGUUUAAUUUAUUUUUUUGCUAGUGCUGUGUUCCAAAUGUUCGAAAUUUCUGGAGCUUUUGCUCUUUUAGUUUGAGUUGUAGGUAGUGACAGUAUAUGGGGCUAGAUUUGCUUAGCCGGCUAUUAUGGCUCUGUAACAUUUACUAGUUUUGGAACCGUGCUUUGAAUGUUGGCUGAGGAGAAAAACACUCAAACAUCCCAUUAUUGAUGCGUCCUAGUU
rnacentral:rRNA from 1 species